UCCUGUUUUUACUUUUAUUUUCUUCUUGAUUUCCAAUGUGCUGUGUCCUCCAGCUCCUAUAUGAAGGAAGUCUCUGGAAUUCAGCCUCUAGUGGAGACGGCUCACUGGGUGGAUCCCUUUUCUUCAUGUUAUGUAGAUAUGGAUGUAAUUCAGACAAAUUCACUUCUGUUUCUCCAAACUGAUUGUAUUCCACCAAAGCCUGAUGGAUCAAGAUGUACUGGGCCUCUACUUGAACCAUCAGGCAUCUCUGUCGCCUUAGCUUGACAACAUAACCAUAAACAUCCACUUUGUUCUCGGCUUCCAGGCCUUCUAGCAUGGCAUCAAUUCCGAUAUAGGUUCCUGUGCGCCCAACACCAGCACUGCAGUGCACCACAAUGGGACCACUGAAGAAAUUGCUGAAGGCAUUCACUCUCCUUCUCAGUUUG
rnacentral:lncRNA from 1 species